GGCCGCCUAUACAUGAAGGGAGAGAGGGAGGCUGGGAUAUGUAAACUGCCCUACUUUUCAUUGUUAUCGGAGCUUUACCUUUUUUAUAUAUAUUAUGUUUGAUCUAGAUUUGAUGGUUUUUCUUUUUCGUUAGUGUCUUUGUCCAUGGACAUCACUGUUGGAUUUGUUGUUGUGUAUCUGUGCCACUUGGGUUUGUCACCGACAUCUGUACCUUGUGCAUGAUAGAGAGAGAGAGAGAAAGACAAGUGAACCUGCCAUAAGACCAGUGAGUGGAUGUUGAUGAUAAGAAAGAGGGAGAGAAGGGGUUCUUCUUCUACUUCUUUCUUUGAUUCUUCUUUCAACGUUUUGGGUUUUGGUUUGUGAGAGAAAUAAAACCCUUUUUCUGGACACGUAGUUGGUUCUAAUACUGAAAACGGCAUGGAUCGUCGAUUUUGAGGUUUUUAACUUUUGGUAACUUUUCCCUAAAUGGGGGUGUUACUGUGUUUUUCAGAUCUGACUCAUUCCUUUUCUUCGUUUUUCUUUCCGUAAUUUUUAUUUUUGGGGUUCAUUUGUUUUCCUUAUUGGUAAGCAGGUUUUACCUUUCAUCAUCAUCUUCAUGAUCUGUGUAAUCUCUCAUUCAUGGAACAUAGAAAUUGACAGAAGAGAGUGAGCACACAAAGGCACAUGUAUAAGCGCAUACUUUGCUUUUGCGUGCUCACUUCUCUUUCUGUCAGCUUCCAGUGCCGGAAUUUGAUCCAUCUUUUUUGGUCACUUCUCCGCCUGUUUUGUUCCUCCAUUUCUAUCUCUCUCUCAUGGUCGGUCUCGUCGAAGACAAGGAAUAUGGUGAGUGGUGUGCCUUGCCAUGCCAUGCCUUGCGAUGAUCUGACUGUUUCCUUUCUCAAUUUAUGCUUUCUUUUUUUUAAUGCGAUUAGUAGGCUUUUUGAUGUUAUUCACUGUUGUGGUACGCCUGGUUACUGUGCGGAUAUAGCGGCAAAAACUAUGAAUAGCAUGGGACCAUUCACGUUAUCCAUUUCCUAUUAGUAGCUAAGCCUAGUAUGCUCCUCACUCCUCCCCUCUACAAACCCUUAAUUUCUUCUUCUUCUUCUUUUUUUCUUUCUUUUUUUCCGAUCAUAUUCAAUACCCAGAAAUUUGUUCUUAUUAUCAGGUUGCUUGGAAUCUCUAAGUGGAAAAUGGAGUUUUGUAUUCCUUGGUUUAAUUUAACCCUACCCUUUCUCAGGUGAGUAAAGAAGAGACUACUAGGACUUGGAUUUAUGAUGAUGUGAGUAAAGAAAAGGCAAAUCCUUUUUCCUUUCCAAGUACUUGCAUUAUGCAUGAUUUAUUAAUUGACUUGGCUUUACAGGUGGUGCUCUAUAUUUUGAUACUUCCAUGAUUGUAAUUGUAUCCAUGUCUUUGUUAUUUCUUGUAUCUCCAAUGGCAUUUAGUUAUGUUUUAGGAUUAAAGAGUUAACAUUACAUGCAAUCAACAAUUUUCAAACUCUAAGAUUACAUGCAAUCAUUUUUGCAGCCUAAAUGUUUGAACUUUUGUGGAGAUGAAACUUCAUAAUAUAUUGUUUGUUCUUCAAUGUUUGAUAUGAAUGAUUGCUUCUUUUCUUUUGUUGAUUCCUGAAUUCCAAUUUUUGGGAGAAAAUUAAUUAUGUAAACAAAUUCUCUUCUGUUACAGUUUAUCAAAAAGAUUUGAGACCCUUCCCCCCCCCCCCCCCAAAAAAAAAAAAAGAAGAAAGAAAUUUGCUGAUUUCGAUUUCGAUCAACACCUCUGUUGUUUAUGUGGUUAAUUACUUAUAGAUUGAAAUGAAUUGCUAAAACAAUUCAACUCGCAGUGAACUAGUUAACGUUUUGGUUAAUCAUGUUAUGCAACUAUUUGACACCUUAAAGCUAAUGUUGAUUGCAAGGCCGAUACCUAUAGAAUCAUUUUUCUCUGUCAAAAAUUGUUAUGCUCUUUUCGGGAAUAUAAAUUCGAAGAUUGGAUUUCAUUUGUUAUAUAAAUUGCGAGAACGUUAUGCAUUCAUUAGGUAUAAAUUAGUUGAGAAUCAUUAUAUUUUUUGAAAGUAUAAAAACAUGAAUUUCAAAUUCUGAAAUGUAUUUGGGAAUUUCAGAUUCAUUAUUAAAUAGCCAUCUAACAGAUCAAUGAAUUUGAGAACUAAUCAUAAAUGUUAUAUUUGUAUGUGUCUAUUAUGUAGCUUUCACUAUUUUUAAAAUCUAAAUAUUUGAAAAUCCAAGUUCACUUAUGUUUUGUUUAAGCAUAUAGUUCUAUUGGAAACAAUGGUUAUUCCUUCUUUUUUUCUUAAUGAUUCAAUUGACUCUAGUUGGUUCUAGCUAGAUAGCUUGUUCUUGAUUGCACGUGCAAUAUUAUAACUGCAUGCAAGGUAAUUGUUCAUUUUCAACAACAUGAAAUUGUAUUAAUUUUUUCAUCUUUCUUUGUAUUUUGUUUAUUGGGGAUGGGAUGUCAAAUUCUGAUCUAUUAAGAUAUAAAACAUUUGUGAUUAUCUGCUAAUAUAUGUUUUAAUUUUUGAAGGGAUAAAUGAUAAGUAACAUGAAUAAGUUACUUGUAAGUACCUAAAACACACUGAUCUCAGGUUUCAAAGUCUUCACUGAAAUUGUUUGAAAAUUUCGGGCUUUCAUGUUUCAUUAGAUAAAAUACCAUGGUCGCAUCAAAUUUUUGUUUGACACAUAUUCGGAUAUGAGUAUUAGGGUAUGGUUCAAUCGGACUUGUAUCUGUAAUGUCUGCUUACUUGAGUACUUUUAUGUGGUUAUACUUUUCGCAGGGUUUAAAUUCCAUUGGAAAAACCUUGCCCCAUGAUCCACCUCCUUAGCCACUCGCAUGUUUGAAUUGUUUUGCCUGUUUUAUUAUUAUUGAAUCUUUUCCUAAACUAUAUCGUUUGAAUUACCAAGCAUCCAAUUGGUUUAAUUCUCCAUAUCUUAUUUUUGUUUUACUCACUACUUUAACUCCAAUCAUCAGUUUACAUGCCAAUGUGCAAUAUAUCUUCUCUACCAUACACACACACACACACACAAACACAUGUAUGUAUAUAUAUUCAUGCACAUUGACAAUGAAUUUUUAACUCCACAUUCUGGGUUAAGAGACUGUUAUACAUGUGUCUUUUUUGGAAUAUAUUUUAAGAAUAUGUGUGCACUCUACUAACUUUGCUUGUGAAGUAUAAAAUUUUGCUGGUGAUGGUUGAAAUAUUUUUUCUUUUCAACAAAUAGUAAUUUAUGGUACAGUUGUAUUUUCAUCGUUUGAGGUAUUGAGUGGAUACGUUCUUGGUCUUUUGAAGUUGAAGAGUUCACUUAUGUUACAGUAGUAAAGUAAAGCCCUUACAUUUGCACAUUUCUAUAUUAUAAUAUACAAGCUUUAUUUUUGUGCUUGGUGCAAAUGAAAGUUUUGUGUUUUUAAUUUUUUGGCUCCCGAAUUAUACUGACCACAAAUGAGUUGAAUGAAUUUGUAGAGAUGGUCAAAUUAUGGGAUCCUCAAAUGUCAGCCUGUCUGCAAAUAUCCAGGUACUUAAUUCUUAAAAAUCAUGCAACUUUUGUCGUCGGCUUUGCUGGGAAUCCAUCUUGGGGGAAUAUGACACCUUUUUGAUGUUCAGAGACAAUUCCGAUCGGUGUUUCCUUAAUGUAUACAUUGCAAAUAUCAAUUAUAGGUAGACUGCAUUUAAAUAGACUCAUGUUUAAUGUUUUCAGACUACUGUUAGCAUUAAUUUUGACAGAAGUGCAUCCAAUUAAUGUUGGUUUUUGAUACAUACAUACAUACAUACAUACAUACAUACAUACAUACAUACAAACACACACACACACAUAUAUAUGUAUCUAUAUAUAUAACUUUAUAUAAAACCUCAUCUUUCUGACUAAUUCAGACAUUGCAUUUAUGGUAUAGUUCUCAGACAUUGUAAGGCUCAAGAAUGCAAUAAUGGAUUUCUCUUAGAACUUUUAAAUUUCAAACCAUAAUAUAUUUGAAACAAUGUCAUUCAAGGUUUGUGCCUAGGCACGCCUGCCCCUUGUCCCUUAGCACUAGAAAACAGAAGUGUCUUGGACCCUUUUGGGGAGGUCCAUUUGAUCAGGCAAACCGUUUGACCAUAAGGAAAGGUAUCCAACUCUAUACUUCCCAGUGUUUGAGUGUUCAUAUAUAUGCAUAGACCAUAAGGAAAUUAUACAUAUUGACUAACAAAAAAGUUUACUAGUUUGGUAGAUAACUUAGAACACGCUUUAGAGUUCAUUACGAUUUAAUCUUCAUAUAUAUAGACACACAUAUACAUAUUGUGCUUUUGCUUACUCGGGCUAGUGCUUUUAUUGUGCCUUGUGCAUGAGGUAAAAUAAGAGUUCUGGCACCUAGAGUGCAAGAUGCACCCUUGACUACACUGAUUUGAACUUUUUAACAUUGUUGGACAUUUACAUGAAUCUAUGACAGAUUUGUUCAAUGCCAGAAUUAGCAGAAGUUCAUAUGAUGAGCUGUACUUUUAGUUCCGCACUAGAUAUCAUGUCUUGAUAGGUAACUUAAUUUGUCCUUAAUUAUAGUAUUCUAUAUCUAUGUUCUUUUUAAUCAUAUAAUUUAUUCACUAUAUCUGUAUCCGAAGAGAUCAAUUCAUCUGCACGACAAUUGCACAAUAUGGGAGCAUGAUAGUGCUUGGAACCAUGUUGGAAUCCUUGGUUUUUUACUUCAACUUUUUCAAAGAAGAAGAUGCAACGAAAUAAAGUAUUGUACAUGGAGGUGAUGUGUGCACAUUGCAUGGCCUGAAUUCUUUCCAAUGUAAGUACUAAACUUCAACAACUAAAACCUUUUCAUUGGUGGAGUACAUUCUAAAUAUCAAUUUUAUAUAGAAAAGUUUAUAGUGCUUCACUUUGUCGACUUGAAGAGCAAGCAUUAUCUUUGUUAUCCGGACUAACUGCAUCGGAUAUAGGUAUAAACGGUGAAGUUUUCCUUUGAAAGUUUUUGGUAGGUAUAUUUAGAAGAUCAUAUCCCAUACUCAUAUUCAAGUGUGGGGACUUUGUUGUGGGCGUUCGAGCACUAGACAUAGAAGUUAUUACACAAUUACAUAAAUAAGGUGUUGAUGGUUGUUUUGUGUUGGAUGAAAAUGGUAUUGUCAAAAGCUGGAAGUUGCUAUCAACUCACUCAUUCUUAAUGAUUAAGAUGAUAAGUAAACAUCGAAGUUCAAUCUGACAUCAGAUAUAUUAACACCAAAGAUUUCAUUCCGAAGGGGGUGAUUCGUUGCUGUAUAUAACUAACAGAACCUUGAACCUAGAGUUUUAGAUUCAAAUUUUGGUAUCAUUUAUGCGCUAUCUUUUGCUUGUGGUGCAUGCAUCUAUGGUUUAAGGCUAAUGUUUGAAGAAUUUAAGUUAUAUGCUUUCAGUGGAAUUUAAAAAUUUUACAAGCAUAUAUGGGUAUAG
rnacentral:lncRNA from 1 species